GAAUCACCUUUGGCAGCGAUUACAACUGUGAGUCUUUCUGGGACCAAGGACUGUCCAAGCCCCCAUGAGGUAUCCUAUCCACCAGAACCAAUGAGUUCGGAUCAGUCUGAUUGUCUGUGCUCCGAGUCGGAGGGGGACCAUCUUGAGGACCUAGGGGUUCAGCCCAACACACAUGGAUCCACCUGAUGUCCUCCAUUACCAACCACCCUCCAACUUUUCAUUACAUCAUCUACAGCUACUGUUGUUGUCAUGUUGUCAUUAUCUGCAAAUAUAUAUUUUUUGCUCUAUCAUACUGGGCACAUAACAUGUGAGAUACACAGAUUAACUCAGAACAAAGAGAGCAGCAGUGCCUGGACUUUUCAGUCUCCCUCUUCAAGUCCCCCUUCCGAGACUGGCUGGCUGUUGAGAACAAGUGACAGGCAGAACCUCCCACCCACACAGCAACCACCUUCUAUAUUCCACACACCAGAAUUCAGUAUUUUACUCUAUGAUUGCCAUGUGUGUACAAAAAAUCUGUGAAAAUAAAUUAAUGACACAACUGUA